rnacentral:lncRNA from 1 species
GGCGACGCCGCAGCUGGUACGACGGCUAACGACGGCGACGCCGCGGACGAUGAGCAAUGGCCGAGUGGCUGUAGCAGCGGCGGCGGCGGCGGCGGCUUCGGUGCUGGCAACAUACAUAUGGACGUGAUUAUGAGCCCCUUGGGUCCGGGACUGGGUGUUGGCGGGAUGAUAGGCAACAUCGGGGAGUUGGAACCGAGCAGCGAGGAGAGGGAGGUGCAAACUGAAGGCA